rnacentral:rRNA from 1 species
AUUGAACGCUGGCGGCAUGCCUUACACAUGCAAGUCGAACGGUAACGGGCCUUCGGGUGCCGACGAGUGGCGAACGGGUGAGUAAUACAUCGGAACGUGCCCGAUCGUGGGGGAUAACGAGGCGAAAGCUUUGCUAAUACCGCAUACGAUCUACGGAUGAAAGCAGGGGACCGCAAGGCCUUGCGCGGACGGAGCGGCCGAUGGCAGAUUAGGUAGUUGGUGGGAUAAAAGCUUACCAAGCCGACGAUCUGUAGCUGGUCUGAGAGGAUGAUCCGCCACACUGGGACUGAGACACGGCCCAGACUCCUACGGGAGGCAGCAGUGGGGAAUUUUGGACAAUGGGCGCAAGCCUGAUCCAGCCAUGCCGCGUGCAGGAUGAAGGCCUUCGGGUUGUAAACUGCUUUUGUACGGAACGAAAAGCCUUCUUUUAAUACAGGAGGGUCAUGACGGUACCGUAAGAAUAAGCACCGGCUAACUACGUG